UAUCUACUCCCUCUGUCCCUAAAUUCUUGUCUUAGAUUUAUCUACAUACGAAUAUAUCUAGUCAAGUUUUAGUGUUAGAUACAUAGUAUCUAGACAAAUCUAAGACAAGAAUUUUGGGACGGAGGGAGUAGGUG
rfam:Triticum aestivum genome assembly, contig: Triticum_aestivum_CS42_TGACv1_scaffold_641497_T_6BS-0.201611_5BL-0.179402